rnacentral:snoRNA from 1 species
CCUGUGAUGAGUUAAGGUCUCUGUUGCUGAACGUCAUGACUGCGAACCCUGUACCGUCUGAU